AGUGAACGCUGGCGGUAGGCCUAACACAUGCAAGUCGAACGGCAGCACAGGAGAGCUUGCUCUCUGGGUGGCGAGUGGCGGACGGGUGAGGAAUACAUCGGAAUCUACCUUUUCGUGGGGGAUAACGUAGGGAAACUUACGCUAAUACCGCAUACGACCUACGGGUGAAAGUGGGGGACCGCAAGGCCUCACGCGAUUAGAUGAGCCGAUGUCCGAUUAGCUAGUUGGCGGGGUAAUGGCCCACCAAGGCGACGAUCUGAAGCUGGUCUGAGAGGCUGAUCAGCCACACUGGAACUGAGACACGGUCCAGACUCCUACGGGAGGCAGCAGUGGGGAAUAUUGGACAAUGGGCGCAAGCCUGAUCCAGCCAUACCGCGUGGGUGAAGAAGGCCUUCGGGUUGUAAAGCCCUUUUGUUGGGAAAGAAAUCCUAUCGGUUAAUAACCGGUGGGGAUGACGGUACCCAAAGAAUAAGCACCGGCUAACUUCGUGCCAGCCGCCGCGGUAAUAC
rnacentral:rRNA from 1 species